rnacentral:rRNA from 1 species
UUCUAUGGUCAUGCCACCCUGAACAAGACCCAACCCUUCUGAUCUCAGAAGCUAAGCAGGGUCGAGCCUGGUUAGUACUUGGAUGGGAGACCACCUUGGAAGACCAAGUGCUGUAGGCU